rnacentral:rRNA from 1 species
GAUGAACGCUGGCGGCGUGCCUAAUACAUGCAAGUCGAGCGGACGGACGAGAAGCUUGCUUCUCUGAUGUUAGCGGCGGACGGGUGAGUAACACGUGGAUAACCUACCUAUAAGACUGGGAUAACUUCGGGAAACCGGCGCUAAUACCGGAUAAUAUUUUGAACCGCAUGGUUCAAAAGUGAAAGACGGUCUUGCUGUCACUUAUAGAUGGAUCCGCGCUGCAUUAGCUAGUUGGUAAGGUAACGGCUUACCACGGCAACGAUGCAUAGCCGACCUGAGAGGGUGAUCGGCCACACUGGAACUGAGACACGGUCCAGACUCCUACGGGAGGCAGCAGUAGGGAAUCUUCCGCAAUGGGCGAAAGCCUGACGGAGCAACGCCGCGUGAGUGAUGAAGGUCUUCGGAUCGUAAAACUCUGUUAUUAGGGAAGAACAUAUGUGUAAGUAACUGUGCACAGCUUGACGGUACCUAAUCAGAAAGCCACGGCUAACUACGUG